GAUGAACGCUGGCGGCGUGCCUAAUACAUGCAAGUCGAGCGAACGGACGAGAAGCUUGCUUCUCUGAUGUCAGCGGCGGACGGGUGAGUAACACGUGGAUAACCUACCUAUAAGACUGGGAUAACUUCGGGAAACCGGAGCUAAUACCGGAUAAUAUUUUGAACCGCAUGGUUCAAAAGUGAAAGACGGUCUUGCUGUCACUUAUAGAUGGAUCCGCGCUGCAUUAGCUAGUUGGUAAGGUAGCGGCUUACCAAGGCAACGAUGCAUAGCCGACCUGAGAGGGUGAUCGGCCACACUGGAACUGAGACACGGUCCAGACUCCUACGGGAGGCAGCAGUAGGGAAUCUUCCGCAAUGGGCGAAAGCCUGACGGAGCAACGCCGCGUGAGUGAUGAAGGUCUUCGGAUCGUAAAACUCUGUUAUUAGGGAAGAACAUAUGUGUAAGUAACUGUGCACAUCUUGACGGUACCUAAUCAGAAAGCCACGGCUAACUACGUG
rnacentral:rRNA from 1 species